AGUGAACGCUGGCGGUAGGCCUAACACAUGCAAGUCGAACGGCAGCACAGUAAGAGCUUGCUCUUACGGGUGGCGAGUGGCGGACGGGUGAGGAAUACAUCGGAAUCUACUUUUUCGUGGGGGAUAACGUAGGGAAACUUACGCUAAUACCGCAUACGACCUACGGGUGAAAGCAAGGGAUCUUCGGACCUUGCGCGAUUGUUUUAGCAGACGACGGAUCAGCUAGUUUGCUGGGUAAAGGCCCACCAAGGCGACGAAACGUCGCAGGUCUGAGAAGAUGAUCAGCCAUAUUGGAAGUGAGACACGGUCCUGAGUCUGAGGGGAGGCAGGAGAUGGGAAUAUUACUCAAUGGGCGGAAGCCUGAUCGAGCUAUUCCACGUGCGUGACGAAGUCAUUCGGAUUAUAAAGCCCUUUUGUUGGGAAAGAAAAAGUGUGAGUUUAUAUAACGCUGUUCUGACGGUACCUAAAGAAAAAGCCCCGGCUAACUUCGCG
rnacentral:rRNA from 1 species